GGGUCAGUAGGUUGGUCGUGCCACCGGUACGUACUGGUCUCACUGAUUCCUCCUUCCUGAAGAACCGUAAUGCCACUAAUUUGGUGUUGCGGGGAAGCAGGACUGUUACUUUGAAAAAAUUAGAGUGUUUAAAGCAAGCUAACGCUUGAAUAUAUUAGCAUGGAAUAAUGAAAUAGGACGAUCGAUCCUAUUUUGUUGGUUUCUAGGAUUGACGUA
rnacentral:rRNA from 1 species